UACGGGGGGGGGCAAGCGUUGUUCGGAAUUACUGGGCGUAAAGGGCGCGUAGGCGGCCUUCUAAGUCGAACGUGAAAUCCCCGGGCUCAACCCGGGAACUGCGUCCGAUACUGGGAGGCUUGAAUCCGGGAGAGGGAUGUGGAAUUCCAGGUGUAGCGGUGAAAUGCGUAGAUAUCUGGAGGAACACCGGUGGCGAAGGCGGCAUCCUGGACCGGUAUUGACGCUGAGGCGCGAAAGCCAGGGGAGCAAAGCGGG
rnacentral:rRNA from 1 species